rnacentral:sRNA from 1 species
AAAAAAAAGGUAACGAUGUAGAACGAUUCCACUGGGGAUC